rnacentral:rRNA from 1 species
AGCGAACGCUGGCGGCAGGCCUAACACAUGCAAGUCGAACGAACCUUUCGGGGUUAGUGGCGGACGGGUGAGUAACACGUGGGAACGUGCCUUUAGGUUCGGAAUAACUCAUGGAAACUUGUGCUAAUACCGAAUGUGCCCUUCGGGGGAAAGAUUUAUCGCCUUUAGAGCGGCCCGCGUCUGAUUAGCUAGUUGGUUGAGGUAAUGGCUCACCAAGGCGACGAUCAGUAGCUGGUCUGAGAGGAUGAUCAGCCACAUUGGGACUGAGUCACGGCCCAAACUCCUACGGGAGGCAGCAGUGGGGAAUCUUGCGCAAUGGGCGAAAGCCUGACGCAGCCAUGCCGCGUGAAUGAUGAAGGUCUUAGGAUUGUAAAAUUCUUUAACCGGGGACGAUAAUGACGGUACCCGGAGAAGAAGCCCCGGCUAACUUCGUG